AUUGUAUUUGGCAGAACAUAUACUAGAAUUGGAACAACAAAGAGAAGAUUAACAUGGCCCCUGUGCAUGGAAGACACACAAAUGUGUGAAGCAUUUCAUAUUUUU
ensembl:snRNA U6 U6 spliceosomal RNA